GAAGGCACCUCUUCGUUCCACACCCGUCAGAAAUCUGAGGGUGGAGUAUACCAUGACCCACACUCUGACGACGGCACGGCUCCCAAAGAAAAUCGGCAUCUGUACAAUGAUCCUGUCCCAAGGAGAGUUGGUAGCUUUUAUAGAGUGCCAUCUCCACGACCAGACAAUUCUUUCCAUGAAAAUAAUGUGUCCACUCGAGUUUCUUCUCUGCCAUCGGAUAGUAGUUCUGGCACAAAUCAUUCAAAAAGACAACCAGGAUUUGAUCCGUGGAAAAGUCCUGAAAACAUUAGUCAUUCCGAUCAACUCAAAGAAAAGGAGAAGCAAGGCUUUUUCAGGUCAAUGAAAAAGAAAAAGAAGAA
rnacentral:lncRNA from 1 species